rnacentral:rRNA from 1 species
UCACGCCGCGUGAGGGAUGAAGGCUCUGGGCUGUAAACCUCCUUUAUCAAGGAAGAAGAUCUGACGGUACUUGAUGAAUAAGCCACGGCUAAUUCCGUGCCAGCAGCCGCGGUAAUACGGGAGUGGCAAGCGUUAUCCGGAAUUAUUGGGCGUAAAGCGUCCGCAGGCGGUCUUGUAAGUCUGUCGUUAAAGCGUGGAGCUUAACUCCAUUUAAGCGAUGGAAACUGCAAGACUAGAGUGUGGUAGGGGCAGAGGGAAUUCCCGGUGUAGCGGUGAAAUGCGUAGAUAUCGGGAAGAACACCAGUGGCGAAGGCGCUCUGCUGGGCCAUAACUGACGCUCAUGGACGAAAGCCAGGGGAGCGAAAGGGAUUAGAUACCCCUGUAGUCCUGGCCGUAAACGAUGAACACUAGGUGUCGGGGGAAUCGACCCCCUCGGUGUCGUAGCCAACGCGUUAAGUGUUCCGCCUGGGGAGUACGCACGCAAGUGUGAAACUCAAAGGAAUUGACGGGGGCCCGCACAAGCGGUGGAGUAUGUGGUUUAAUUCGAUGCAACGCGAAGAACCUUGACAGGGUUUGACAUCCUGCGAAUUCCUUGGAAACGAGGGAGUGCCUCGGGAACGCAGUGACAGU